GGGUGUCACCUGAGGAUACUUAAGGAUGACAUUCAGCCGUACCUGCUGCCAUUAAAUGAAACAACGCAACUUCAUGCUGCAACCCACAAUGUGUCCUUUAAUGAUGUGUUUAGUGUUAGUUUUAUUUAUGUUCAUGCCAGAUUUCAGUUUUUGCGAUUCAGUUAAACAAAAUAAAAGACAAAUGAUUUCCAAGGAAGGAGAGGAAGUAACACUUUGGUGCACGUACGAAAGCAGCAAUCAGUACAUACACCUUUACUGGUACCGUGUGUAUCAGAACCGGGCAUUUCAGUACAUUCUGUACAAGGGAGCCAGGUCCCGGUCUGGAUACGAUAACACCGCAGAGUUUGCUAAACAGAGGUUUUCUUCAAGGGCAGAUAGUAAAAGCACAACCCUGACCAUCACCCAGACCUCACUGUCUGAUUCUGCUACGUAUUACUGCGGCCUUAUUGAUCAACGCACAGUGUGGGAAUGUAAUGAGAAACCUGUACAAAAACCAAAUAGUGCGGUAGCUGGUGAUUUUCCAGAAAGGUCUGAUUAUUUUAUUUAG